rnacentral:lncRNA from 1 species
GCAUCCCCCCUGCCCGAGGACACCAGCUGCCUCCAGCCGGGGGACACCCAGCCCGAGCUGCCACCCACGCUCCUGGAGACAGACAGUGACGGCCACAGGUCCUCGAAAGCCACGCCUUCCAGAAGGCCCGGGAGGCAAGGCUCUCUUCUCCCCCCGCCCUCCCUCCGCAUCCUGCUGACCCCGCCGGCGCACGAGAAGCCGAGCCCCCCGGGCAUGAAGGCGCUGGCCGCCAGGCUGUGCCCCCUGGCCGGCCUGGACCCGGGCACCCCGAGGGCGCUGAGCCCGCAGGCCCGGAAGGAGAUGGCGGCGGGCACCCAGAGCAUCUCGCGCAUCGCGGCCUCCCGGCGCUCCAGGGCGCAGGACCGGGACGAGGCGGCCCCCGGCUGCAGGGGCCCCAUGGAGAGGAGGGCCCGGAAGAAGAGGUCGUCCUCCGUCAGCGGCAGCGGGCAGCCGGCGAUGGAGAAGCUUCAGCCGCCCUCUGCGGAGCACGUGGCCGCGAGCCCGCCGGCCCCGGCGCCCGUCCUCCAGCCGCCCAGGCCGGGAAGGGGCCUCUUCCCCGCCGUGCCCACGGCCUCCAGCCUGAAGCCCGGCCUCAGCCUCCACGCAGACGAGAACGCGCAGCGUGGGGCCCGAGGUCAGCUUCACCUUCCCCAGCGCCGCGUGGCAGGGCAGCGCGGGCCCCGGCAGGGCGCCCCGGGAGCCCCGAGGGUCGACGGACAGCGGGGGCCGACGACACAGCCCCCUGCCCCCCAGCACCCCCCGCAAGCACCCGGGAGGCAGCGCCCAGAGGCCACGGAGACCGAAAUGAGCCGGCGGUGGGCCAGGGGCGCGGCUGGGCCCGGGCCCGGGGGUCUCGGCCCCAAAGUUGGAUGAGAGGCCUGGGGGCUCCAGCAGGGACACUUGGGGGUGAGGCCCCCGAACCCCAGCUUCUCACAGCCCCUUUCUUCAGAGCCAGUGGCCGCCCCCCCCGCCUCCCGGCCUGUCCCUCCCGGGUCCCCUCCUGGACAGCCCGGGCUCUCGCCGGCCCCUCC